rfam:Camelus ferus unplaced genomic scaffold scaffold667, whole genome shotgun sequence.
GAGGGUACAGCUCAGUGGUCGAGCAUGUGCUUAGCAUGCACGAGGUCCUGGGUUCAAGACCCAGUACCUCCA